GCAGAGCCUCCAGUCAGGCAGCAUCGAUGCGCUGGCUCCGAAUGUGAGAAAAUACCGCGCAGGCCUUACAUUCUGUUGAGUACUUCUCGAAUACCCGCAGAGUAUGAAGCUGUUGAGUCCUACUAGGAAAGAAAAGGUUUCCACGAAUAUGACCGAAAAAUGGGUCUUUCCGCGUAACACAGACAUAAAUGUUCAGAGAAGUAUUUAGUCCUUUAACGUGGUACUCCCCAGGUACCAGACGCUGAGAAUAUGAUGUACGUAUGAUGAUUAUGUGUAAUUACUACAGCAGUUCUGUAGAGUAAAUAAUUAAGAUUGAUUGGGAGAUAAGAGACUUAAGAGACAGGUGUCCUUUGAAUCAGCCUUCGUGGCUGAAGAGAUUGUAUUUGUGUAUUUAAGUGGAGAAAAGUAGAAGAUUUUGUGGGAGAGAUUGAUUCCUGAAGGGAUCUAGUAAUUUGGGGUGGCUGGGUAGUACAGUAUGUAGCAGGAGAGUAGAUUAGAAGGAUAAAGUAGUUUGUAACCAAAUUAUGUGAUGCUUUGAGUUUGUGCUAAGGGAUUUGUUUUAUACUUAAGGCGUUUAUCUGGUGGUUUUUGAUCUGGGAAACUACAGGAUCAAAUUUGUGUUUUAGAAGCAUAAUAUUAAUGCCAGAUGGACUAGGGUGAACUAGGACAUGCAUGAAGCAAAUGUGGAAGGAUCAGUUAGAGAAGUUAAUUUUGGAGGCUUUGGGCCAAGAGUUCAUUAGGGCAAUAAAUUCAACAAGGUUUGGUAACUGGAUGUGGUAGGACAUAGGAGAAAAAGGCCAGGGUUACUCAGAAAUCAAGAAUACAGGGGAUCCCUGGGUGGCUCAGCGGUUUGGCGCCUGCCUUUGGCCUAGGGCGCCAUCCUGGAGACCUGGGAUCGAGUCCUGCGUCGGGCUCCCGGCAUGGAGCCUGCUUUUCCCUCCCUCUGCCUCUCUCUCUCUCUUUCUCUCUCUUUCUGUGUCUAUCAUGAAUGGAUAAAUCUUUAAAAAAAAGAAAGAAAGAAAGAAAUCAAGAAUACAGUAAAAGGAAAUUUGAGAGGAAAAAGAAGAUACCGAAUUCAGUUUGGGACAGAGUAUAAUAAUUCAUAGCACUCUAGCAGAAGCUGUAAAUUUCAAGUUAGGAGCCCAGGAGAGGCCUUAGGAGCCCUAUGACAGUUUGGAAAUAAAUGAGAUUGUCUCUUUCCUCCUACUAGAUGUCGGCUCCAUAGCAGGACUUUGUUUUCUCCAGUGCUCUAUCUUUAGGGUCCAGAACAGUGCCUGGUACACAAAAGACCCUCCAUAAAUAUCAGUCAGUUCAAUGGAAAGAGAGUAUAUAGACUAUCACUGUCCAAUAGAACUUGCAUGGAAAUGUUCUAAAUCUUAAUAGAGGGCGGCCCAGGUAGCUCAGCAGUUUAGCGCCACCUUCAGCCCUGGGCCUGAUCCUGGAGACCCGGGAUGGAGUCUCACGUCGUCGGGCUCCCUGUAUGGAGCCUGCUUCUCCCUCUGCCUGUGUCUCUGCCUCUCUCUCUCUCUCUCUCUCUCUCUAUGUGUGUGUGUCUCUCAUGAAUAAAGAAAUAAGAUCUUAAAAAAAAAAAAAUCUUAAUAGAGUGGCUGCUAGCCACUUUUAAGUUGUUGAGCUGUUGAGCACUUGAAAUAUGGCUCAGUGCAACUGAAGAGUUGAAUUUUUAUUUAGUUUUAAUUAAGUUUAAAUAACUAUGUUUGACUGAUGGCUACUAUAUUGGACAUUGUAGGUAUAGACUGAAGAGAGGGCCAAAGCAGGUGUAUUAUGUUCAUUGGGGAUGAACGGGACAUAGAGCUGGAGGAGACAGAAAAAAGCUAUGAGAAAGGUAGGAUGAUAAUAGGGUGAAACUUGUGUGUAUGGUUUUGUUUUUGUUUUUUUUUUUUUAAGAUUUUAUUUAUUAUUCAUGAGAGACAUACAGAGAGAGGCAGAGACAUACUCGGAGAAGCAGGCUCCCUGUGGGGAGCCUGAUGUGGGACUCUAUCCCAGGACUCCAGGAUCUCGACCUGAGCCAAAGGCGGACACUCAACACUGAGCCACCCAGGCAUCCCAGUAGUUUUAUUUUUGAUAUUUUCUUUUGUUUCUGGCAUUAUCUCUAUACCUCUAAAUUUCUCUGUCCUAUUUAUUUGUUUUGGUCUCUAUUUUUCAUGGAACUUGAUCGCAGGACCCCAGGAUCACAAGCUGAGCCAAAGGCAGACACUCAACCACUGAGGUACCCAGGUGCCCCAACAGGGUGGAAGAUUAAAGAAUUUGGGGAAGAAGAGUAAAAAAGAAGUUAUCAACGAGUGGUGGGGAAAGCUUAAGAUGAAGCCUAAAAGAGGCAACUACAUUUGGCAAUUAACAAGUGUCUAAUUCCUUAGCAAUUUCAGUUGAGUGGGGAAAGGAGGCAGGUAAUUAAAGUUUAGAGGUAAACAGAAGAGGAAAAGUCAGGCAAUGGUUUAAGAGUCAAAGAGGAUUUGAGGAAGGUGUUUUUUUUUGGGGGGGGGGGGUUGGAAAGGCCAAGGUAUGGCCGGUGGAGUGGAAUUAAUGGGUGGAACAUGGUUCAGAAGGGAAUGGAUCAAGAGCAUUGGUGAAAGGGCCUUAAUCUGGUAGAGGAAUUAGAACCCACCAGGAGGAGGGUUUUAUAGGACAUGUUUGUUUUGCAGUGUCAUCAUUGCCCAGGAUUAUCCAUGAGACUAAGAAUAGUUCUCUUUUCCGUAGUCUUAAGCACUGGGUUUAUUGAUAUGUUGUAUUGGAUAUGCAGAAAGGGGGACAGGCUGAAACACCUUUUGGAGGAGUUACAUGAUAAUGUGAUUAAGGGGACGCCUGGGUGGCUCAGCAGUUUGGCGCCUGCCUUCCACCCAGGGCGUGAUCCUGGAGUUCUGGGAUCGAGUUCUGCAUCCUCUGCAUGGAGGCUGCUUCUCCCUCUGCUCCUGUCUCUGCCUCUCUCGAUCUCUCUCUCUCUCUCAUGAAUAAAUAAAUAAAAUCUUUUAAAAAAAUGUGAUUAGGCUGGUAGGAGAUUAGAAUAUCCUAAGGAUGUUAAUAUUAACAUGUUAGAAUUGGAGUUCUCGGGGAUCCCUGGGUGGCGCAGUGGUUUAGCGCCUGCCUUUGGCCCAGGGCGCGAUCCUGUAGACCCGGAAUCGAGUCCCACAUCAGGCUCCCGGUGCAUGGAGCCUGCUUCUCCCUGUGUCUCUGCCUUUCUCUCUCUCUCUCUGUGACUAUCAUAAAUUAAAAAAAAAAAAAAAAAUUAAAAAAAAAG
rnacentral:lncRNA from 1 species